rnacentral:rRNA from 1 species
GACGAACGCUGGCGGCGUGCCUAAUACAUGCAAGUAGAACGCACAGUUUAUACCGUAGCUUGCUACACCAUAGACUGUGAGUUGCGAACGGGUGAGUAACGCGUAGGUUACCUGCCUGGUAGCGGGGGAUAACUAUUGGAAACGAUAGCUAAUAACGCAUAAUAUUAAUUAAUGCAUGAUAAUUAAUUGAAAGGUGCAAUUGCACCCCUACCAGAUGGACCUGCGGUGGAUUAGCUAGUAGGUGAGGUAACGGCUCACCUAGGCGACGGUACAUAGCCGACCUGGGAGGGUGAUCGGCCACACUGGGACUGAGACACGGCCCAGACUCCUACGGGAGGCAGCAGUAGGGAAUCUUCGGCAAUGGACGAAAGUCUGACCGAGCAACGCCGCGUGAGUGAAGAAGGUUUUCGGAUCGUAAAGCUCUGUUGUAAGAGAAGAACGGGUGUGAGAGUGGAAAGUUCACACUGUGACGGUAUCUUACCAGAAAGGGACGGCUAACUACGUG